GGGAAGGUGGCUCAGUGGUAGAGCGCUUGCCUUGCAUGCAUGAGGCCUUGGAAACAAGAGGUUUUCUUUUUUUUUUUUCUU
rnacentral:tRNA from 1 species